UUGAUGUUAUGGUGGUCUGGGUGAGCCGCUUUCCUCCCAGAAGAGACUCACCCAUAAUUUUGGCGAUGUUAGUGAGGGUCGAAAGGUGGAUGAUGUUUCUUAUUUUUUCCUUUUCUUGAUGUUGUAUUUUUCUUGUUUUUAUGUCUGUCGUUUUUCUUUUUUGAUAUUUUUUCUGUUAUAUUCUUGAUACUGUUUUUCCUUUUUUAUUUUUAGUGUUCUUUUCUCUAUCAUCCUUUUGUUGAUGUUCGUUGGUCUGGAUGAGCCGCUUUCCUCCCAGAAGAGACUCACCCAUAAUUUUGGCGAUGUUAGUUGUGGCCGAAAGGUGGAUGAUGUUUGUAUGUUUCUUCUCUUGAUGUUGUUCUUUUGUUGCUGUUACUUUUCUUUUUCGAUGUUUAUUCUGUUCUUGUUUUCUUUUCUAUAUUUUUUUAUGUUCUUUUCUAUAUCAUCCCUUUUUGAUGUUCUCUGGUCUGGAUGAGCCUUUUUCUCCCCAGAAGAGACUCAUCCAUAAUUUUGGCGAUGUUAGUUGGGGCCGAAAGGUGGAUGAUGUUUGUAUGUUUCUUCUCUUGAUGUUGUUCUUUUGUUGCUGUUACUUUUCUUUUUCGAUGUUUAUUCUGUUUUUGUUUUCUUUUCUAUAUUUUUUGGUGUUCUUUUCUAUAUCAUCCCUUUUUGAUGUUCUCUGGUCUGGAUGAGCCUUUUUCUCCCCAGAAAAGACUCACCCAUAAUUAUCUUGAUGUUGAUGUUAGGGCCGAAAGGUGGAUGAUCUGUGUUUGUUUGUUUUCUUUUCUCAAUGUUUCGUUUCUUUAUUUUCUUUUCACUCUUCUAUUUUAUUAUCUUUCUUUUGGUGUUCCCCUUUUGUGGAUUGUCUACGACAUCUAACGAGCACCACCGUCCCGGGUUUAUUAUUCGGAGUUUGCUCUCCUAGGUGUAUUGCCUAUGACGGCUCACGAGUCCAGCCUGCCCGGGUUUAUUAUUCGGAGUUUGCUCUCCUAGGUGUAUUGCCUAUGACGGCUCACGAGUCCAACCUGCCCGGGUUUGUUGUUCGGAGUUUGCUCUCCUAGGUGUAUUGCCUAUGACGGCUCACGAGUCCAGCCUGCCCGGGUUUAUUAUUCGGAGUUUGCUCUCCUAGGUGUAUUGCCUAUGACGGCUCACGAGUCCAGCCUGCCCGGGUUUAUUAUUCGGAGUUUGCUCUCCUAGGUGUAUUGCCUAUGACGGCUCACGAG